UGUUAAAAGUUCCAUCCAUUUGUACUGUUAAAAAUUGUGAUACGUGACGGGUUAUGUGUACCUCAUGCUGACGUGCAAUGACCAGUUUUUUGAACAUUACAAAUGGAUGAAAUUUUUAAUA
rfam:Gossypium arboreum cultivar AKA8401 contig_14520_3, whole genome shotgun sequence.